GACAAACGCUGGCGGCAUGCCUAACACAUGCAAGUCGAACGGACAGAACAGGGAAGCUUUUCGGAGUGGAACUGGAAAGUUAGUGGCGGAUGGGUGAGUAACGCGUGGACAACCUACCUUGUAAAGGGGAAUAACCUCGAGAAAUCGAAGCUAAUACCCCAUAAUAACCUUGCUUCGCAUGAAGUAAGGAGGAAAGGCGGCCUUAGCGCUGUCGAUACAAGAUGGUCCGCGUCUGAUUAGCUAGUUGGUGAGGUAAAGGCUCACCAAGGCGACGAUCAGUAGCCGGCCUGAGAGGGUGAACGGCCACAUUGGGACUGAGACACGGCCCAAACUCCUACGGGAGGCAGCAGUGGGGAAUCUUCCGCAAUGGGCGAAAGCCUGACGGAGCAAUGCCGCGUGAGUGAAGAAGGCCUUCGGGUUGUAAAACUCUGUCCUUAUCGAAGAGAGAGUGUUGUAGUAACUGACAAUACUAGGACGGUAGAUGAGGAGGAAGCCCCGGCUAACUAUGUG
rnacentral:rRNA from 1 species